rnacentral:rRNA from 1 species
CCCUCCCUCUUUCUUCAUGCCUAACACAUGCAAGUCGAACGAGACCUUCGUGUCUAGUGGCGCACGGGUGCGUAACGCGUGGGAACCUUCCCUUAGGUUCGGAAUAACUCCCCGAAAGGGGUGCUAAUACCGGAUAAUGUCUUCGGACCAAAGAUUUAUCGCCUUUGGAUGGGCCCGCGUUGGAUUAGCUAUUUGGUAGGGUAAAAGCCUACCAAGGCGACGAUCCAUAGCUGGUCUGAGAGGAUGAUCAGCCACACUGGGACUGAGACACGGCCCAGACUCCUACGGGAGGCAGCAGUGGGGAAUAUUGGACAAUGGGCGAAAGCCUGAUGCAGCAAUGCCGCGUGAGUGAUGAAGGCCUUAGGGUUGUAAAGCUCUUUUACCCGGGAUGAUAAUGACAGUACCGGGAGAAUAAGCUCCGGCUAACUCCGUG